UACGAAGGGGGCUAGCGUUGCUCGGAAUUACUGGGCGUAAAGCGCACGUAGGCGGAUUGUUAAGUCGGGGGUGAAAUCCUGGAGCUCAACUCCAGAACUGCCUUCGAUACUGGCGAUCUCGAGUUCGGGAGAGGUGAGUGGAACUGCGAGUGUAGAGGUGAAAUUCGUAGAUAUUCGCAAGAACACCAGUGGCGAAGGCGGCUCACUGGACCGGAACUGACGCUGAGGCGCGAAAGCGUGGGGAGCAAACAGG
rnacentral:rRNA from 1 species